UACGGAGGGUGCAAGCGUUAUCCGGAUUUACUGGGUUUAAAGGGUGCGUAGGUGGGUUGGUAAGUCAGUGGUGAAAUCUUCGAGCUUAACUCGGAAACUGCCAUUGAUACUAUCAAUCUUGAAUUAUCUGGAGGUAAGCGGAAUAUGUCAUGUAGAGGUGAAAUGCUUAGAUAUGACAUAGAACACCCAUUGCGAAGGCAGCUUACUACGGAUACAUUGACACUGAGGCACGAAAGCGUGGGGAUCAAACAGG
rnacentral:rRNA from 1 species